rnacentral:lncRNA from 1 species
UGGUGGGGAAACCCUCAGAGAUCAGAGGGACGUUUAUGUACCAAGCAUUGACAUUUCCAUCUCCAUGCGAAUGGCCUUCUUCCCCUCUGUAGCCCCAAACCACCACCCCCAAAAUCUUCUUCUGUCUUUAGCUGAAGAUGGUAUUGAAGGUGAUAGUUUCAGCCACUUUGGCGAGUUCCUCAGUUGUUCUGGGUCUUUCCUCCUGAUCCACAUUAUUCGACUGUGUUUGAUUUUCUCCUGUUUAUCUGUCUCAUUGGCACCCAUUUCAUUCUUAGACCAGCCCAAAGAACCUAGAAGAGUGAAGGAAAAUUUCUUCCACCCUGACAAAUGCUAAAUGAGAAUCACCCAGUAGAGGAAAAUGAUCUGGUGCUGCGGGAGAUAGAAGAGAAAAUCGCUGGAGAGAUGUCACUGAGUAGGUGAGAUGGGAAAGGGGGGACACAGGUGGAGGUGUUGCCCUCAGCUAGGAAGACAGACAGUUCACAGAAGAGAAGCGGGUGUCCGUGGACAUCUUGCCUCAUGGAUGAGGAAACCGAGGCUAAGAAAGACUGCAAAAGAAAGUUUACAGAUGAAGAAACAGAACCAGAAAGAUGGAGAGACUUGCCCAAGUGGAAAAGCCGGCUCUCAGAUACCUGCCCUCUGUUUUCAAGCUGAUUCCUCCUUCGGUUCGACACAACCGCCCCCACGUCUGUUACAUCAUCAUCCAGAUCUUCCCAAAGAAUCUGCUGCACUUGGAAUUCACUUUACAAGAGUGACCUUCAGGGAUUGGUCUUCCUUUUCUGUCCUUGUACAGCAUAUGCUACCUUCAAUCCCAACAAAUGUAAGUUCCAGUUCAUGUAGGAGAUUGGCACCUUUUGGAGCCAGCCAGCUAGCAAUGAAGUGUCAUUUCUCCCAACCCCAGGUAAUCUAGUCCAACUCCACCAAAAACACCCCCAACCCAGCACCAAGGCCAUUCUCACCACCUCUGUACACACACAAUAGGCACUUCCUCUCUGAGUGGAAAGGACAAAUACACUUUGGGUAAAGUGGUUUGACCAGAGGCAAGAAGAGUCAACAGGAAAGACCUGCUUAUUUGCACAGAAUAACUGAGAUGCUUUGCUCUUUCAACAACUGGAAAGGAUUAUGUGUUUCUCACCAAACACAUUUACCAAAUCAUCUCAUUUAGUUAUAUUAAUAAAUCUUUUAAAAAAUUUCGUGUGUGACUAAGU